AACGAACGCUGGCGGCAUGCCUAACACAUGCAAGUCGAACGAUGCCUUCGGGCAUAGUGGCGCACGGGUGCGUAACGCGUGGGAAUCUGCCUUUCGGUUCGGAAUAACUCAGGGAAACUUGAGCUAAUACCAGAUAACGUCGCAAGACCAAAGAUUUAUCACCGAAAGAUGAGCCCGCGUAGGAUUAGCUAGUUGGUGAGGUAAAGGCUCACCAAGGCGACGAUCCUUAGCUAGUCUGAGAGGAUGAUCAGCCACACUGGGACUGAGACACGGCCCAGACUCCUACGGGAGGCAGCAGUGGGGAAUAUUGGACAAUGGGCGAAAGCCUGAUCCAGCAAUGCCGCGUGAGUGAUGAAGGCCUUAGGGUUGUAAAGCUCUUUUACCCGGGAAGAUAAUGACGGUACCGGGAGAAUAAGCCCCGGCUAACUCCGUG
rnacentral:rRNA from 1 species